CAGGAGUGGUCAUCCGCUCAGCUGGGGCUGCAAGGUCACCAAGUGAUUCGUCCUCUGGGUGUGUACCUGGGGCAGAGCAUCACCAAGUGUCCUUACACACCCACACCACUGCCCAACUUGCAACAGGAGGGCCAGGGGCAAACAGCUGCAGGAGGAACUAGGCAGGGGACCGCUUUCUCCGGCAGUGUCCCCCUGCACCUUCUACUGACAACUGUUAAUAUUGUGCUCACUUAAAGGAGAGACAGAGAACCCAGUCCAUUAUCCCACCGCAGGUAUGGAAGGGUGAAUUUGGAGCUGAGAGUCCUGAUAACUGGCACACCAUGUGACUUGUUUUGGCCAACAGGAUGUGGGUAGAUAUGAUGCACGCAGCGCCCCGAGAUCUACUUGCAAGGUUGGGUUUGCCCUCUGGCACUUCUGCCCUUACCCUGAGCCGGGCUUACCCUGUAAGCUUCUCUCCUUCCGCCGGGCCCCUGAAUGAGCACACCAGACCCAACCCUGAGCCCAGCUCACUGAGAGGCACCAAGGCCAGCUGGCCCAGAGCUUGAAGCCCACUCACCCAGCCCAGCCCAGCCUAGACCAGCUGAUUCCUGCAAACCCAUGGAGGCGACAGUGGAGAUGGUCAGUCUUCCCAAUGACUGCACUGAAAAACUCAGCUCGUGCUGCUGAAUGACGGGGACUGCUGGUAAAUGAAGGCAGAGCUGCCAAAUUACAAUCCUAGUUGGGUUCGUUGUUUUCCCCGUUUCUGGUACCAAUUGCCACUUCAGUGACGGCCAUUCCCGCAAAGUUUCAGAGACUCUCAGGACAACUCCUCACACUCGAAACACAAGUUGCUGCAUCUUGCCCUCACCUUAGCUUCUGUUGGGAGUGUUUUCUGUCCCUCAGAUUACUGGUGUCUAUUGCCUCUGUGAAACUUCUGGAGGUCUAAUAUUUGAGGGAACAUCAGCAUAUCCCAGGAAUGACGACAUCUUAUACCUCACCCUGUUGAACCACCACAAUCACAGCUAAUAGCUUCCCCUGGAGGAUCCCAUCAAAGCCAAGGACCAGAGGGAGGAAGAACGGCAGCAGAUGCGAGCUGAAGCCUAGAAGAAGCUUCUGAGUGCUCAAAUGAGGAGCCUGGAGGAACAAGAGCUUGUGGGGACCCGGGUUUGAUCCCUGGUCUGGGAAGAUUCCACAUGCUGCAGAGCAACCAAGCCCCAGUGUGUCAACUACUGAAGCCCACAUGCCCUGGAGCCCAUCCUCUGCAACAAGAGAAGCCACCGCAAUGAGAAGCCCACAUCCCGAAAUUAGAGAGUAGCCCCCACUUGCCACAACUAGAGAAAGCCCAUGCAACAACAAAGACCC
ensembl:lncRNA